GCGGGAUGAGCUCAAAUUUAAAAUCUGGCUGGUUUACUAGUCCGAAUUGUAGUUUAAAGAAGCGUUUUCGGUGGCAGUCUCGGUAUAAAUCCUUUGGAAUAGGGUAUCAUAGAGGGUGAGAAUCCCGUCUUUGACUGAGAAUUUGCUACUAUGUGAUACGUUUUCAAAGAGUCGAGUUGUUUGGGAAUGCAGCUCAAAAUGGGUGGUAAAUUUCAUCUAAAGCUAAAUAUUGGCGAGAGACCGAUAGCGAACAAGUACCGUGAGGGAAAGAUGAAAAGAACUUUGAAAAGAGAGUUAAACAGUGCGUGAAAUUGUUGAAAGGGAAACGCUUGAAACCAGUCAUGUAGUUGGAAAAUCAGUGUUUGGGUGGGGGGAAUGGGGGAGGUGUGGACCGCAAGGCCGCUCUUUCUUAUAUCUCUCUAGUCAGGCAUGCACUUUUUCUUCCGCAGGUCAACAUCAGUUUCUUUUGCUGGACAAAACUCUUGAGAAGGUAGCAGCUUAGGCUGUGUUAUAGCUCUGGAGCGAUACAGUGGAGGGGACUGAGGUUUUCGCAGCAUGUGCUCUCGGGCAAGGCCUGCUGGGCGCUAUGGGAUCGUUCGGGGUACAAUACAUGUAUUUUGCCUCGUGUCCUUUCUAUACUCGUUUAGUUGUGCUC
rnacentral:rRNA from 2 species